CGAGGUAGGGGCGUCGAGGGCGCGCGGGCGGGUCCCAGGCUGGGCCCCGCGGAGGCCGGGUGCUCACGGCUCCGUCCCGGCGCCCGUGUCUCCUCCAG
ensembl:miRNA